rnacentral:rRNA from 1 species
AGCAGCCGCGGUAAUUCCAGCUCCAAUAGCGUAUAUUAAAGUUGCUGCAGUUAAAAAGCUCGUAGUUGAAUUUCGGGACUAAUAUGUCGGUCGUGCCUCGGUACGUACUGGUAUUUUUGGUUUCUCCCUUCUGACGAACCUUGAUGUCAUUAAUUUGGUGUCUUGGGAAAUCAGGACUGUUACUUUGAAAAAAUUAGAGUGUUUAAAGCAGGCUCACGCCUGAAUACAUUAGCAUGGAAUAAUGAAAUAGGACGUUUGAUUCUAUUUUGUUGGUUUCUAGGAUUGACGUAAUGAUUAAUAGGGAUAGUUGGGGGCAUUAGUAUUCAAUUGUCAGAGGUGAAAUUCUUGGAUUUAUUGAAGACUAACUACUGCGAAAGCAUUUGCCAAGGAUGUUUUCAUUAAUCAAGAACGAAAGUUAGGGGAUCGAAGACGAUCAGAUACCGUCGUAGU